rnacentral:lncRNA from 1 species
GGCAACUGCAGAACACCGAUAACAACUACUACAUCACAUCGUACGAGCGGUACAGCAUAUUUUCAGAUCGAAUAACAAAUCGGAAUAUGUAAGCAUUUCAGACGUAAAUUAAACACGAUCGGAAACAAAUAAAUGAUUUUGUAAAGAAGAUGAGAUCUAGGGUUUUACCUUGAUGAUUUCGGUAGAGAUCUGCGAGGCUUGAGAGAGAGAGAGAGAGAGGAAGCAGCAACAGCAGCUUUAUAGCAGAAAUUGGGAACGUUUAAAUGUUUGAAAUUCGAAAUCCUCCAGAUAUUUUCUUUUUUUGCCAGAGCUACCGGUUGGCCGGUGAGGAGGCGGGCCACCCCUUAGUCGACUCCACUGAAUAGCUGUCAAGGCUUGGAACGGGUACGACUAGAAAGAUCAAUAGAACUUAAAUUUAGAUUAGAUUAGAAACUCGUCUAUUACAAAGUGAGCAGACGUGCACAGGGCCGGCCGGGAGCAUGUGCUGGGUGAGCGUCGGCUCAGGGCCAAAAACGUUAAAGGGCCCGUGAUAUAUAUAUACACACAUUAUAUUAUAUUAUAUAUAUAAUUAAAACCAUACAUCUCUAACAAAACCAACUGCAGUCUAGUUGUAUCUGGGUUGUCUUUAAAGUCAUAGGUGGUUGCAAGUUCGAUACUCGCUAUUAACGUUUUCUACAAUUUUAGUACUCAUUUUCUUAAAUGCUACAUUUUCUACAAUUUUAGUACUCAUUUUCUUAAAUGCUAUUUCGCACUGUGUUACUUGUUUUCUUUUACUUCUAACUCUGUUACUUGUUUUCUUUUAUCUUUUUUUUUCUUCUUCUAUUCACUUAAGGUUUUCUUUUCAACAACCAAAUUCUUUUAUUGUUUUAUUAUAAUUAUUAAUUAUACACAUAUUUUAUUUUUCUCUUUAACUUUUAAAAUUUCUUUUUACAAAUUAUUCGAACAAACCUAAAUCUGCACGGUUUGUUAUAGUGCCCGUAAUAGGGUUUGAUCGCAUUGUUGAGUGACACGACAGCACGGCAUUGAAUUUUGUUUUACUAGGGCGGGUAGGGCCUGAUUUUUUUUCUCGCACAGGGCCAAAUUUUUUUUAAACAUAUUCGGAGACGGCCCUGGACGCGCACCAUAAACACAAAUUACAUAGUUCAUGUUUUCUUAAAGUCUAACACUAUAACCACAUUAUUGAUUCAAAGUUUUUACUUGAAAUGUCAUAUGUAUAUAAGCAUGAUGUGAAUCUACAACCUUUGUUAUUCAGUGGGUCAAUUUAUUAAUAGGGUCACAUCUAGGGCUGUUUAAAUCGUUCGUCGCUCACAGCUAGCUCGUUGAUCGUUCGGAAAACGCUCAGAAUAUGCUCGCUCGGUUUGGUUCGGUUUGCAAACGAGCCAAGCCUGAGCAAAGGUCCGCUCGGCUCAGUUCGGCUCGAAUUAAUUUUUAUUAAUUUAUUACGUAUACACAAAUUACAUGUAUAUUCGUAUUUUAUACAUACCAUUCUAUUAGAUUUGGACCACUAUACUCAAAUAUACAAUUAUAUUUAUCCAUACUAGCCUAAUCAACAUGUGUUUGUCCCGUUUGCGUUUGAUACCUUUGGUGGUCUCGCUCCUGACGCUGUACGACUCUUGAAUCGGCUUCAAAAAGUCGUUAAUAGUAAUUCUUCGUCGCUAAAGGUUUCAAACUUUGUAUUUAGUAGAAUUGGUUUUUCUAUUCAAAAGGGGGUGGCGGCGCAACUUGUUGCCCGACUACCUGCCAUUGCUUUGUAAUUGCCCUUUUUUCAUGUGGAAUGAUAUAAAUGAUU